GCCCCCGUAGCUCAGCUGGACAGAGCAAGGGCCUUCUAAUCCCGAGGUCGUUGGUUCGAAUCCAACCGGGGGCG
rnacentral:tRNA from 1 species